rnacentral:rRNA from 1 species
CUGCUGCCUUCCGUAGGAGUUUGGGCCGUGUCUCAGUCCCAAUGUGGCCGUCCACCCUCUCAGGCCGGCUACUGAUCGUCGCUUUGGUAGGCCGUUACCCUGCCAACUGGCUAAUCAGACGCGGGUCCAUCGCAUACCACCUCGGUUUUUCACACUGGACCAUGCGGUCCCGUGCGCUUAUGCGGUAUUAGCACCUGUUUCCAGGUGUUAUCCCCCGGUAUACGGCAGGUUACCCACGCGUUACUCACCCGUCCGCCACUAACUUAACA